AGCAUUUGGAGCAGAAGGCCAUUUGAAAAUUCAACACCACUUUCUUAUUGUUUUUGGGUUAUCCUUACUCUAGUCAUCUCUGAAAAAGCGCAGCAAUACAGAUGUUAAGUCUUGUUUGGAGGGUAAUAUUUAAAACUUAUACAUUUUUUUUCUUUUAAGAACUUUUCAAUUUUUUCUGUACGUAGCAUUUUUACGCUACCAAUAAACACUGAAGUAGGUUUUUCAGGUGGAAAAAUGUACAGUCUCAGUGAAAAUUGUGGGACGUUCCUUCCCUCCUCAAAGGAAAGCAAGGAACAAGGAAAAAGGAAGUUAAAAAAUACAUUUUUUUACAUCUCUGAUGUUUAUCAUCUCCUGUCGUAAUUCCCUAUCUCCUGAUCUAAUAAAAUAUCCGAGUGUCAAAAUUCUUGAUGGUCCGGUCUCUUGGUUGUUCCCUCCCUUGUGUUUAAAUAGAGGCACACACAGAACGGGGCCAUCACUCUAGCUCGCAUCCUUUUGGAACAUCUAACAGUUCAGGACUAUUGUUACCUGGGACUCCUCGGCUUCUGCAAUUACAGUAACGUCUUCCUACUGAAGGACUGAAAACAAGUUUAUACAGGCAUGGACAAGUACGGAUUGCUCCUCAGCGUCCUUUUUGUGACUCUGUCUUGGGGAUGUAUGAGGACAUUUGCUCAGAACACAACAAAUCCAACCACCACACUGCCAGGAAACACCACAGAACUAACAACAAAAACUACAAAUGAAACAACCACAAGCACCCCAACCGAAACAAACAUCAUGGCUGCAACAACAGCAGACAUCACAACAAUAGUAGCAAAUACUACACUUCCGGCCACAACAACAGUUCCCCCAGUGUCACCAAACGAGACUGUAAUUCCCCUUCCGGACGCUGUUAACAGUUCUGGAUGUAGAGAUUCACAGCUGUGUGCAGCAGAACCCCCUGACUGUGACCCAUCAAAAGCUUCAUCAUGCUUCUUUCUUGGUGCCAAGCUAAUUGGUGGUAACAACUUUGAGUUUGCACUCUCGGGACAGUCAGAUGGCUACGUUGCAGCAUCUGUGCUCAGUGCCAAUGGGAAAGACGUGACUUAUGUUUGUGCAAACAGCAACAACAAACUGAAAUUUUUUGGUGCAAUCAAGGAAAAUGAGACACUGACCUUGACCUCUCUCCGCGUGACCUCUGUGAAGGGUAAGGUCAAUGGUACAACAAUCCAGUGCACAUUCCUGGCCACAGUUCCAGACCCUCUUGAUUUACCACGUAGAGCACGCAGAGCAACGGGCGUCACUAUGUCAGUCUCAACAGGAUCAUUCAACGCAACUUCUGAGACUUUGGGCACACCAACUCCAGUGAUAAGAGCAGAAGUUGUGGACCUGGCACAGCCUAAUACUACAGUUGUUAAUACAAUUACCACAACACCUACACCAGUAACAACCCCUAAUACGACCUUAGCUUCUACCCCUAAUACGACCUUAGCUUCUACCCCUAAUACGACCUUAGCUUCUACCCCUAAUACUACCUUAGCUUCUACCCCUAAUACGACCUUAGCUUCUACCCCUAAUACGACCUUAGCUUCUACCCCUAAUACGACCUUAGCUCCUCCCGUUACUUCCUUUGCUUCUACAAUUGCAGCGUUACAAGCAAUUAUCUCCAACACCAGCUGUGGUACUGAAAAACUGUGCGCAGCUAAGCCAACAUCAUGCAACCCUGCUGCUGGAGGCACCUGUUCCUUUUUGUCUGUCAAGCAGAAGAGUGGUCAGAGAUAUUCAUUUGAGAUCUCAGGACAGUCCACCGGUUACAUAGGCUCUCUCUUAUCCAUUGAUACUACUUGGGGUAACAAUGACUCUGCCUAUUUGUGUGCCAACAACAACGGUAGAGUCACAUUCAUAACUGCCCUUUAUGAUGGGACUCAGCUGAAUCUAAGCCCGCUGAAUGUGACCUCAGGAUCUGAGGCAGGCCGAGUUGAGGGAAGCACAAUCCAGUGCACAUUUGAGUCCACACUUCCAGAUACCAAUACUCGAGCAGCAGAUUACGCAGUUGCUGUCAUCAACGGAACCUAUGACAUUCGUUCUGGAGCUCUGGGACUUCCCUCAAUUUUAUUCAACACCAGUAUAUUAAACUUGACUAAUGUUGCAAACAGUUCUCCUGGUUUGGUGCCACACCAGCAAUCCCUACUGCAUGGUCUGCUCCUCAGUGCCGGUGUUCUGAGUCUCACCAUCCUGACAGGACACUGAUUCACAAAUUUCAACUCAUGCCUGAUCUUAACCUUUGGGCAAGUGCUCCAAAAGGUUCCUUCAUUUGAGACACACAAUGAACAAAAUAAAUGUUUUUCUACUGAUAUCUGAAAUUAUUAUGCUAUGAUUAAAUUAUGAAGCCGAUGACGGCUGAUUUUAUAUAACUUAGCUCAUUUAUUUUUUGAAUUUAAAGAAUUUACAAAAAUGUAUUGUCUUAGUGUGAUUCAUCCAUUGUUGGACCCAAAAAGGCCCAAGUGUAAAUCAAUAAACUCUGAUUUCUGUAAAAGUGUCAAAAGCAGAGGUUAAUUUCAAUAGCAAAGUUUUUUAAAAGCCAAAAGUAUGCAGCAGUUCUGUUCGUAAGUUGAAGAAGAAUGAGGAUCUUUAGUCCACAGUUUCUGCUUCCCUUGCUUUUCUCUGACCAAUUGGACCACAGUUCUGUGACCAGCCUGACAAAUUUAAGUAGUACGAGUGUAGUAACUUGUUUUAUCCACUGAGAUGUGGGCUUAUGACGCAUAAUCAAAGCUGCAGCAAUCUACUUGACUAAAGGCAAAAGGACAAUUCAUGGACUGAUCAAAGAGGUCGACUUUUGGUCAGCUAUUUGGUGUCUAUGGUUAUCUUCUCAUCACCGUCCUUGAACCAACACCCUAACUGUUAAUCACAAUGUUAUUCAACCCGACCUGGCUGGCUAACACAAUGUGAAUAACCUCCUUACCAAAAACUUGAUAUUUAAUGUAUGACUAAAAAUAAAGACCAACUUUCCUUUUGAUUCCACUCUCCAAAAGUUAAUUUACAAUUGUCUACCGCUUGACUCUGGUGAUAGAGGAGAUCUUGCAAUGAUGUAUUGUGAGAAACAGACAGUCUCACCAGCAUCUAUUCUUGAUUCUCUUCCAUCUCAAACAGUGGUUCUAAGGUUAUGCGGUUGUGUUCUCUAAAGCCAGUGCUUUGAUGUGUUGUACUCCCAAAGUUAAAGAUUUCAUCAUUAGUUCCCUGACAUUUCUGACUCAUCUGCGAUCUUUCUCC
ensembl:lncRNA